GUCGAACGAUGAAGCGCAGCUUGCUGCGUGGAUUAGUGGCGAACGGGUGAGUAACACGUGAGUAACCUGCCCCCCUCUUCGGGAUAAGCCUUGGAAACGGGGUCUAAUACCGGAUAUUCAAUUCCUGCUGCAUGGUGGGGGUUGGAAAGAGUUUUUGGUGGGGGAUGGGCUCGCGGCCUAUCAGCUUGUUGGUGGGGUGAUGGCCUACCAAGGCGUCGACGGGUAGCCGGCCUGAGAGGGCGACCGGCCACACUGGGACUGAGACACGGCCCAGACUCCUACGGGAGGCAGCAGUGGGGAAUAUUGCACAAUGGGCGAAAGCCUGAUGCAGCGACGCCGCGUGAGGGAUGACGGCCUUCGGGUUGUAAACCUCUUUCGACAAGGAACAAGGCUUCUCGUUCUCGGGGGGUUGAGGGUACUUGUAGAAGAAGCGCCGGCUAACUACGUGCCAGCAGCCGCGGUAAUACGUAGGGCGCAAGCGUUGUCCGGAAUUAUUGGGCGUAAAGAGCUCGUAGGCGGUCUGUCGCGUCUGGUGUGAAAACCCGAGGCUCAACCUCGGGCUGGCAUCGGGUACGGGCAGGCUGGAGUGCGGUAGGGGAGACUGGAAUUCCUGGUGUAGCGGUGGAAUGCGCAGAUAUCAGGAGGAACACCGAUGGCGAAGGCAGGUCUCUGGGCCGUUACUGACGCUGAGGAGCGAAAGCAUGGGGAGCGAACAGGAUUAGAUACCCUGGUAGUCCAUGCCGUAAACGUUGGGCACUAGGUGUGGGGCAGGUUCCACCUGUUCUGUGCCGUAGCUAACGCAUUAAGUGCCCCGCCUGGGGAGUACGGCCGCAAGGCUAA
rnacentral:rRNA from 1 species